CACAACACCCACAUCCCCCAUAACCAAAAACCAGCAAAACUGUUAGCACCCACCAAGCAUCAACGCCACCAAAAUCGCCGGCAAGUAUCUAUGUUAAGAAACCAUCUUCUCUAGUGAAUCCAAAUCCCGGACUUCUGAGACGGUGUGUAGCCUCAGCUUUUCAGCGUCUUAACUGAAGAGAUUAAAACAACCAGAUCAAAAUUUAAAAACGUGGCGAAGCGUUGACUAAUGCAACGAGUCGUCACUGGUAAUUAAGAAGGAAGAGAACUCGGAAAUUGCGGCAAAGACCGUCACCAAGGAUUUGGUGGUUCCAACCUCCGAGAUGGAUAUUUAUGCUGGGAGGAGUUUGUUUUUAUCGCCUCCCGCAAGCUCACUUCUCCACCGGCGUUCUGCAAAAAGAAAAGCCUCCACAGUAAAAGCAAUAAUUUCAUCAUUGAUUUUAGAAGGCUCCUCAGGCUCGAUCUUGAUUGACUCUGAUUCAGCUAAAGUACGAACCUUUGUUUUAUUGCUUAGAUUUCGUGGCUCCGAUCUGGCUAAAGAAUUUCCCUUAUUUGGAUUGAAUCGGCGGGUCGGGUAGGAUGCAAGUGAUUAUUGCUAGGGUGGAAUCCGACUGGUACUAUUACUCAAUGACAACAGUUGUGAUGUUGUAUUGCCUGGGAUGUUCGUGUAGUGGUUGAAGUUAUUGUUUGGGGUCAGCCUUUGUUCUAACAAUUUCAAAUUUAUUUUAUAUGGUAGUAUUUAGAUGAUAAAUAUAUAAAAUUAGUUUAGGUUAUGUGUGUCUAUUGUAGUGCCAUGAGUAGCCAAAAUGCAAUCAGCAAUAUGAAAAAAUUAUAGAAUUAAGCUGAGUGCACUCAUGUUGCUCCACGAUUAUUUUAAUAGUGGAGUCCACUUGUUUGAUGUGAGAGUACUAUAAAAAAUUAAUGUAAAAAGUACAGUACUUGUAAUACA
rnacentral:lncRNA from 1 species